rnacentral:rRNA from 1 species
GAUGAACGCUGGCGGCGUGCCUAAUACAUGCAAGUCGAGCGAACGGACGCGAAGCUUGCUUCUCUGAUGUUAGCGGCGGACGGGUGAGUAACACGUGGAUAACCUACCUAUAAGACUGGGAUAACUUCGGGAAACCGUAUCUAAUACCGGAUAAUAUUUUGAACCGCAUGGUUCAAAAGUGAAAGACGGUCUUGCUGUCACUUAUCGAUGGAUCCGCGCUGCAUUGGCUAGUUGGUAAGGUAACGGCUUACCAAGGCAACGAUGCAUAGCCGACCUGAGAGGGUGAUAGGCCACACGGGAACUGAGACACGGUCCAGACUCCUACGGGAGGCAGCAGUAGGGAAUCGUCCGCAAUGGGCGAAAGCCUGACGGAGCAACGCCGCGUGAGUGAUGAAGGUCUUCGGAUCGUAAAACUCUGUUAUUAGGGAGGAACAUAUGUGUAAGUAACUGUGCACAGCUUGACGGUACCUAAUCAGAAAGCCACGGCUAACUACGUG